UUUCCGUAGGUGAACCUGCGGAAGGAUCAUUGUCGAAACCUGCAAAGACAGAACGACCCGCGAAUCGUUGAAGAAUUAUUCGGGAGGCAUGCGCCCUCGGGCCUUUCUCCCGGAGUCCCGGGGCCUAGGGCGCGGUUCGAAUUCACGUCCCCCCUCUGCCACGGGCAAAACUAACAAAACCCCGGCGCAAGUCGCGCCAAGGAAAACAAAGAAAGAAUGACACGCUCCCCUCGUCCCGGAAACGGUGCGUCGGGAACAAUGUCGUCGUUAUCGUAUUCAAAACGACUCUCGGCAACGGAUAUCUCGGCUCUCGCAUCGAUGAAGAACGUAGCGAAAUGCGAUACUUGGUGUGAAUUGCAGAAUCCCGUGAACCAUCGAGUUUUUGAACGCAAGUUGCGCCCAAAGCCGUCAGGUUGAGGGCACGCCUGCCUGGGUGUCACGAAAAGUCGUCAAAUGUCCCUCCCCGCGGGCCCCUCGCUCUCGAGCGGGGAGCAACGGAGGAGGGACGACGGAUGUUGGCCUCCCGUGGGCUUCGCGCGCGCGGUUGGCCCAAAAAUUAGGCGCGCCCGCGAGGCGGCCGCGACGCACGGUGGUUGAAAGCGUACGCUCUCCUCGAACACCGUCGCGGCUCGGCCUCGCGAACGGGGAGCCAAAGACCCCGACGCUCUGCGUCAUCGCGAUGCGACCCCAGGUCAGGCGGGACCACC
rnacentral:rRNA from 1 species